rnacentral:lncRNA from 1 species
GGAGUGGGAGGAAGGUGGAUCAUUCUUUCGCAUGACAAAUACAACCCCUGUAAUAACCCAGAAUAAAAAAAUAAUAAAAAAAAAAAUAGAGGAGGAGGAAGACUCCUAACCGGAGUCUUCUUCCUCUCCGUUUAUGACGAAAUCGGACCGAUAGAGUCCGAUCAGAGGUAGAAAAUCUCUUCUAUAAAAUCCUCCUCCCCUCCCUUAUGUCUCUGCAAUUGGUUUUGGAGAGAUUUUUAAGAAAUUGAGGGAUUUUUUCAAGAGGAUCCGCGGGUUCUUAGACGGGAAAAAGGAGUUCGCCAGAGCUCUUCUCAACUGCUGGAGCAAGGUAAGCCCCUCCCCUUCUUCCUCUCCC